UUAUUGGAUUGUGGUGUAAGCGUGUGGCCCGUGGCAUAGGUAAAUCCGUGUUACAUAGUGGGUGAGGCGUGAUGCGUAGACCUUUGUGGUUGAUGUUGGUGAUCCUGUACUGUCGAGAAAAGCCUCUAGCGAGUGCAUAUAUGGCCCGUACCCAUAACCGACACAGGUGGUCAGGUAGAGAAUACUAAGGCGAUCGGGUGAACUGUGGUUAAGGAACUCGGCAAAUUGCCCCCGUAACUUCGGGAGAAGGGGGACCAUUGCUGGUGACCGACGUGGUUGAGCUGGUGGUGGUCGCAGAGAAUAGAGGGAAGCGACUGUUUAUUAAAAACACAGGUCCGUGCGAAAACGUGGAAGUUGAUGUAUACGGACUGACGCCUGCCCGGUGCUGGAAGGUUAAGAGGACCUGUUAGGGCAUUUUUUGUCCGAAGCGGAGAAUUUAAGCCCCAGUAAACGGCGGUGGUAACUAUAACCAUCCUAAGGUAGCGAAAUUCCUUGUCGGGUAAGUUCCGACCUGCACGAAUGGCGUAACGACUUCCCUGCUGUCUCAACCACAGGCCCGGUGAAAUUGCAGUACGAGUAAAGAUGCUCGUUACGCGCGGCAGGACGAAAAGACCCCGGGACCUUCACUAUAGCUUGGUAUUGGUGUUU
rnacentral:rRNA from 1 species